GACCUGGCUGGGUGGUCCGCUUAACGGCGUGUACUGUUCGGCUGGGCCUUACCUCUUGGUGAGCCAGUGUGCCCUUUAUUGGUGUGCAUUGGGGAACCAGGACUUUUACCUUGAGAAAAUUAGAGUGUUUAAAGCAGGCAUAAGCUUGAAUACGUUAGCAUGGAAUAAUAGAAUAGGACU
rnacentral:rRNA from 1 species